rnacentral:rRNA from 1 species
UACGUAGGGUGCGAGCGUUGUCCGGAAUUAUUGGGCGUAAAGAGCUUGUAGGCGGUUUGUCGCGUCUGCUGUGAAAAUCCGGGGCUCAACCCCGGACUUGCAGUGGGUACGGGCAGACUAGAGUGAUGUAGGGGAGACUGGAAUUCCCGGUGUAGUGGUGGAAUGCGUAGAUAUCGGGAGGAACACCAGUGGCGAAGGCGGUUGCCUGGAGCUUUGCUGACGCUGAGGCGCGAAAGCGUGGGGAGCGAUCCGG